rnacentral:rRNA from 1 species
CGGGGGGGCAAGCGUUGUUCGGAAUUACUGGGCGUAAAGGGCGCGUAGGCUGCUCGCUAAGUCGGGUGUGAAAACUCUGGGCUCAACCCAGAGCCUGCAUUCGAAACUGACGAGCUAGAGUUCUGGAGGGGAAAGCGGAAUUCCUGGUGUAGCGGUGAAAUGCGUAGAUAUCAGGAGGAACACCGGUGGCGAAGGCGGCUUUCUGGACAGAAACUGACGCUGAGGCGCGAAAGCUAGGGGAGCAAACAGGAUUAGAUACCCUGGUAGUCCUAGCCCUAAACGAUGGAUACUUGCUGUGAGGGGGAUUGAAUCCCUUCGUGGCGAAGCUAACGCAUUAAGUAUCCCGCCUGGGGAGUACGGUCGCAAGGCUG